ACCUUUUCAUUCAUUCUUUUCUAUGUGAGGUGCAUAGAGUGAAGUCUUCAACCAUGGGAGAGAAAGCUACAGGCAUGUAAGAAUCAAAAUCCAAGCUAGGUAUUGCAGCCAGCCCAAAAUCAAUGCUUCAGGGAACAAAAGAAUCUUUAGAAGUGAACUUCUGGACCCAUGCCAACAAAAGCUGAAACAGGGACUCAACCAGCAGCAAAAUGAACUUGGGAUUCCGGCUCGGCAACUGUUUUAUCAACCUGCACAGCAUUAGGAGGGGAGAUGCUGCAUUUGUGAUCAAACGGCUGGAACUGAGAAACCGUUGUAGAGGAAUGGUGGGCUUUGCUGCAAUUUGUGAGCCUGCUUUGAGGUCCUGACUAUUUAGAGAGGUAUUCAGAUUGAACCCCUACCAAGAUGCCACAAGAUUUUUCUGCUUUCUUCAAAUGAACUGGUAUCAUCUAUAUAGAAUGCUCACUUCCAUCUCACAUGAACAGAAGAUCUCAUAUCUGAAUAAAAAGUUAACUA